UGGCUCAGAUUGAACGCUGGCGGCAUGCUUUACACAUGCAAGUCGAACGGCAGCGCGGGGCAACCUGGCGGCGAGUGGCGAACGGGUGAGUAAUAUAUCGGAACGUACCCAAGAGUGGGGGAUAACGUAGCGAAAGUUACGCUAAUACCGCAUACGAUCUAAGGAUGAAAGCAGGGGAUCUUCGGACCUUGUGCUCCUGGAGCGGCCGAUAUCUGAUUAGCUAGUUGGUGAGGUAAAGGCUCACCAAGGCGACGAUCAGUAGCUGGUCUGAGAGGACGACCAGCCACACUGGAACUGAGACAC
rnacentral:rRNA from 1 species